UAUUCCAGUUUUCUUCCUGGUUCCAGUGAUCUUUGUUGUUAGUAUUUCAGAUCAUCAGAUGGUAAAUUGCUGGCUGACAGCUGGAGCCACCUCUACUAUAAAUUAUUGGACUCACAAACAAAUUGGAUAUCUACCAUAGGAUCAGCAAAUGCAGAGGAGUAAUGCCACAGAUUUGCCAGCUGGUUUGGGACUUUUCCUUGUCUCCACCUUGGAGAGACAAGUGUGCUCUGAUAUGAAUGAAGAAACAGGAUCAUUGUGGUCUGUUUUCCCCAUUCUUUGAGCCAUCCCAAUGCAGGAGCCAAGAAGAGAAAUCUCAUUCUUUCCCUUCUGCCCUUGAAA